rnacentral:misc_RNA from 1 species
AAGUCGUAACAAGGUUUCCGUAGGUGAACCUGCGGAAGGAUCAUUAAAGAGUUAGGGUCCUAGUGGCCCAACCUCCAACCCUCUGUUGUUAAAACUACCUUGUUGCUUUGGCGGGACCGUUCGGUCUCCGAGCGCGUUAAUGUCGGAUGCGCGCCGCAGUCACCAACAUCUUGUAUUAAACCAGUCGUCUGAGUAUAAAAUUUUAAUUAAAUUAAAA